rnacentral:rRNA from 1 species
AAUUUUGAAGGGCCGCAGUAUUCUGACUGUGCAAAGGUAGCAUAAUCAUUUGCCUUUUAAUUAAAGGCUAGUAUGAAUGGUUGAACGAAAUACAAACUGUCUCACUUUUAUAAUUAUAAUAAUUUAGCUUUCUAGUUAAAAGGCUUGAAUAUUAUUAGAGGACGAGAAGACCCUAUAGAACUUUAUAUAAUUUUAUGUAAAUAUUUAUAGUAAAAUAAUUUUAUUUAUUUAUCUUUAUAUUUUGUUGGGGUGACAGGAAAAUUAAUAAAACUUUUUUGACGUUAAGCCAUUGAUUUAUGAAUAUUUGAUCCAUUAUUAUUGAUUAUUAGAAUAAGUUACCUUAGGGAUAACAGCGUAAUUUUGUUGGAGAGUUCAUAUCUAUAACAAAGUUUGCGACCUCGAUGUUGAAUUAAAGAAAUUUUAGAGUGCAGAAGCUUUAAGUAAUAGGUC